UUUCUUGGUUCAAGGUAUUUAGGAAACUUUGAAUCUGACAAGGUUCAUUUUUUUUCUGCUGCACUUCUGAGAGCCUUUACUUAAGUCACCUGAACUGUGACAGCAUAAAAGAAGCUUAUCCCAUGUAGCAUUUCCCAGCUCUCCUGAACCAUGGGCCUUUUCGGAAGGAGCAUCGUGUAGGAUUGGUGGUCCGGGGGUUCCAGUGUCUGUGUGCCCUCCCAGCCAAGGUGUGCCCGCAGGAGAAACUGGACCUUCAAAUCAGCCACUCGUGUCUCUGCUUUGGGUUUUGUCAGCAGUAACAGCAGACCCAGUGUGUUUGGGACUCCUGGAGCCAAGUGCUCGUGCAUCCCUGUGAUGUGGUUUUGGAAUAUAGGACAGCCAGGAGUGCCUGAGGAAUGUCUUAUAUAUCCCAUGGGGUGGUGGGGUUGCAGGGUGUCAACUUCUGCUUUGUCCUCAGCUUGCCUUCUGUUCAUUCAUUACCUGUGCCCCUGCUACAAGGGCAUCAACAGAAAUGGAAGCUCACAUCUCUGACUACAGACUUAGCCCGUGGUGGGAGCCAGCCUGCUUUCUCCGCUGCAGCGGGACGGAGCUGGGAUGAGCCCUUGGGCUGUGACUGCAGAAGCCUGGAAAGCCCUCUGAUCUGCCCUGACACUGGCUGAAAUUCUGCCUUGGUGAGAAUGAGGGGGGUCGUGUUGAUGGAAAAAGAAUCCUUGGGGAGGGGCUCCCCCUGACUAAGCCCAGGACAAUUUCAGUAGCAGAAAACAGCGACUACAAGCAAUGAAGAUGCCUCUUACCCAUGAUCCUCAAGGGAGAACAAAAAGAUGUAAAGAAAGACCACAGAAUGGGAGAACAUUUCUGCAAAUCAUAUAUCUGAUAUGGGACUUGCACCUAAGAUAUUAAAAGAAUGCUUACAACCCGGUAAUACAAAGACAACCCAUUUAAAGAAUACGCAAAGGACUGAAGAGAGAUUUCUCCAAAGAAGAUACACAAACGGCCCACAAGCUCAUGAAAAGGUGCUCAACAUUAUCCGCCAUGAGGGAAAUGCCAAGGCCACACUGCUUCCCACUCCACAGAAGGGCAGCAAAUGGAGCACCAGGUGUCCGUAAGGAUCUAGAGGAACAAGCCCCCUCACUGAGUGGAGCAACAGCCCUGGAGACAGCCUGGCAGUUCUUCCAAUGACUAAACACAGAGCUGCCACAUGACUCAGCAGUCCCACUCCCGGAUCCACACCCAAGAGAACUGAAAACAUAUGUUCACACAGCCCUUAUAUCCAAAUGCUCAUAGCAGCAUUGUAAAUAACAGCCAAAAAGUGAAAACAACCCAAAUGUUGGAUCAACUGACGAAUAGAUAAGUAGAAUGUGGAAUAACCAUACAGUGGAAUAUUAUUCAGCAAUAAAAAGAAACGAAGUCUUGGCACAUGCUACCACAUGGAUGCAUCCUGCAAGCACCACGCUAUGGACACGCCAGGCACACGGGACCACAUGCAGUAUGAUCCCACUCAUACGAAAUGUCCAGAGUGGGCACAUCCAGUGAGACAGUAAAUACAUGGGUGUCUGUGAGGAACGGGGCAUGGGUACACAGUCUCCCGCCAGGUGAUGAAAACGCUUCAACAUGGGUUGUGGUGAUGGUUGGUACAGCUCUGAGAAUGUGCUAAAAACCAUCAAAUUGUACACUUUAAAGGGGGAAAUUGCAUGAUGCGUGAAUAGUAUCCCAGUAGAGUUAUUUUUAAAAACUUAACAGUAAAAAACAAACAAACAAACAAAAAACCCCACAACUUUAAAAAAUGCACAGGAAAUAAAAAAAGCAAACAACAUAAAAACCU